AACGCACAUUGCGCCCCUUGGUAUUCCGAGGGGCAUGCCUGUUCGAGCGUCAUAAUAACCAAUCCAGCUCGCUGGGUCUUGGGCACCGCCGUCUGGCGGGCCUCAAACGCAGUGGCGGUACGGCCGGGCUCUAAGCGUAGUACAUCUUCUCGCUAUAGGGUCCCGGGCGGCACUUGCCAGCAACCCCUCAUUUAUUCAGGUUGACCUCGGAUCAGGUAGGGAUACCCGCUGAACUUAA
rnacentral:misc_RNA from 1 species